CGCGAAAGCCCCUUCGGGGGCGAGUAGAGUGGCGCACGGGUGAGUAACACGUGGGUAAUCUGCCUUCGAGUGGGGAAUAACGGCCCGAAAGGGUCGCUAAUACCGCAUAACGCAGCGGCACCGCAUGGUGACAGUUGUUAAAGCAGGGGACCCCGCAAGGGGCCUUGCGCUUGAAGAGGAGCCCGCGCCCGAUUAGCUAGUUGGCGAGGUAAGAGCUCACCAAGGCUCCGAUCGGUAGCCGGCCUGAGAGGGCGGUCGGUCACACUGACACUGACAUACGGGUCAGACUCCUACGGGAGGCAGCAGUCGGGAAUUUUGGGCAAUGGGCGAAAGCCUGACCCAGCAACGCCGCGUGAAGGAUGAAGCUUUUCGGAGUGUAAACUUCACAAGAAUGGGAAGAAUAAGGAAGGGAUAAUACCCCUUUCGAUGACGGUACCAUUUGUAAGCUCCGGCUAACUCCGUGCCAGCAGCCGCGGUAAUACGGGGGGAGCAAGCGUUGUUCGGAUUUACUGGGCGUAAAGGGCGCGUAGGCGGCGCGACAAGUCGCUUGUGAAAUCUCUGGGCUCAACCCAGAACGGUCAAGUGAUACUGUCGUGCUAGAGUGCGGAAGGGGCAACUGGAAUUCUUGGUGUAGCGGUGAAAUGCGUAGAUAUCAAGAGGAACACCUGCGGCGAAGGCGGGUUGCUGGGCCGACACUGACGCUGAAGCGCGAAAGCUAGGGGAGCGAACGGGAUAGAUACCCCGGUAGUCCU
rnacentral:rRNA from 1 species